rnacentral:rRNA from 1 species
UACGUAGGGGGCAAGCGUUGUCCGGAUUUAUUGGGCGUAAAGAGCGUGUAGGCGGCCAUGCAGGUCAGCUGUGAAGACUCGAGGCUCAACCUCGAGACGUCGGUUGAAACCGUAUGGCUAGAGUCCGGAAGAGGAGAGUGGAAUUCCCGGUGUAGCGGUGAAAUGCGCAGAUAUCGGGAAGAACACCCGUGGCGAAGGCGGCUCUCUGGGACGGUACUGACGCUGAGACGCGAAAGCGUGGGGAGCGAACAGG